rnacentral:lncRNA from 1 species
CUUUAUAAUAUUAUUUUACUUUUUAAGUACCUACAUUUUGUUUACUGAGUUGCGAAAUAGUAAUAUAGUAAUAUUUGUUAAAACGCGUGUAUUAAUUAAAAUAAGCACAAAUUAAGUUAAAGGCAUAAAACACAAUACAAUAACACCACCACUGGAUUAUUCAAUAGUAGUGACUGUUUCCACCAGAGAAUAGGUUUCCACUAUUUCAGAGACUAUUUCUAGGGAGAGACAUAAAUUAUAAUGUCUUAUUAUUUUGCCUAUUUUGAUUUGUUGAAGACCGAUAAAGGGCGAUUAUUUACUUUAUCAGCUUUGAAAAUUAAAAUUUUAAUUUCUCUUUGAUUUAGAUUGUUGUUACUUAUUGAUGGUAAAAUCAUGAAUACUUGCAACAAGUGUUUGAAAACAUUUUCCAAUAUAGGAAAUUAGAAUAAACAUUUAAAGAUGAUGCUAUUUUAGUAUAUGAAAAGGAUGAAAAAUCCUUUCAGUGCUUAGAAGGGUGUAAUAUUUCUUUUAGGUCUAAUAAGGAUUUAAUAACUGAUUUAUGUACAGUACAUAAAUUAAAAAUGGAAACUGAAGAGUUACAUUUCCCUAAUAUUGAAGAAUUCCAUAUAUUUUUAAAUAAGCUACAUAUUUCCCAGAACGUUGAAUAUGUUCAAAAUUGUGGAAAGCAAGAGAAAAAAAUUAUUGUUAUGAAUGAGAAUGGGUUGUGUGUGUGAAGAGGUUAUUGAAAUUAUAUAUAUUUGAAAUGUAAUCGUCAUUGUAAGAUAUCUUUCUUCACAGCAUAGCAACUGCUAUAAUUAAAGUUUCAAAGCAAAGUUAUAUAAUUUUCAUACAAGCUGUUGGGAAUACCAAAAAAUUGGCCAGCCGAAAUUUACUUAUAAUCAAAGAUCAUUAUAAUAAGACAUAUACAAUAUUUUGCUGAUAAGUCAGUCAUAACUUUAUGUACCAUUUCUUGUUACAUAAGUCUAUAUGGAUGAGGACACAACCAAGAAAUCUACAGUUUACAUUAUAGAAAUUAUAUAAAACCAUCAGAGCCUCGUCAAAGAGCAAUUAAGCUAACAGGGUCAUGUAAACUGAAUAGAAGUUGCACAAGUGAAAUCAAGGUUGUGUCUAAUGAGAGCACAUUGAAGGUUUCUGCUACGUUUUUAAAAUCACAUUAUAGACAUGAAAAGACUGAAAAGGCUGAUAUUGCUCAGAAACUUGCAAGUGGCAUUAGUAUAAGUCGGUAAGUACACAGAAAUGCCUACGGUAUAAUAAUUUGACAAUGUUUCUAUUAAUCACAUUAUUAUGUUUUUGGAAUUCUUAGUAUGAACAGGGAUCACUUUAAUCCCGAAAACCUUAAUAGAACUAAUUUAUUAAGACGUAGUGAUAUACAUAAUAUUAAACGUUCAUUCAAUAUUGAAAUAUAUGAGGGUGUAAGACAUACAGAAGAUGCUGUUAGUGUAGAUAUGUUUGUUCAGGAAUGUUCAAACCUGGAAAGCAAUCCUAUAAUAUUUUAUAAACCACAGGGAGUUGAAAAUGAAGGUAUUUUAAAAAAGGAGGAUUUUUGCAUCAUUAUAAUGAACAGAGUGCAACAAGACAUAUUGAAAAUGUUUGCGGAAAACAUAGUUGCAAUAGACAGUACUCAUGGAAUGAAUGCUUACGAUUUUGAACUAACAACACUUUUAGUGGUGGAUGAGUGGGGUGAGGGAUUUCCUGGAGCAUGUAUGUUAACAAACCGUAAAGAUACAUUAGUUUUUCAAUUGAUGUUUAAAAAUAUUAGAGAUAAUAUUGGUAUUUUAAAACCAAAGGUUUUUAUGUCUGAUAUUACACAUGUCUUUUAUAAUGCUUGGAAACAAGAAAUGGGUGAAGUGUCAUCACAACUAUAUUGUGCAUGGCACGUAGAUCGUGCGUGGCGUUCUAAUUUAAGUAAAGUAAAUUCACCAGAACUUAAAACUUUAGUCUAUCAGUCAUUAAAAGUAUUACAGACAACAAACUCUAAAGAAGAAUUUCAUGAAUUAUUAACAAAGAGUGUAAAUGAUUGGGGUGAGAAUGAAGCCAACUUUUAAUUUUGGACAAUAUUUUGCAGGAAAUUAUUUAUCAAAUUAUAUGCAAUGGACAUAUUGUUAUCGCUUAAAUUGUGGAAAUAAUACUAAUAUGCGUUUAAAAAAUAUGCACAAAGUGUUAAAACAUAUAUAUUUAGACGGCAAAAAGGUAAAAAGAUUAGAUAAAUGUUUAAAUGCUUUAAAUUUGUUUAUUAGAGAUAAAGCACUCGAAAAAGUAAUCAAGAAAAUUAAAGGCAAAAAUUCAAUCCAUUUAAGAACAAUUAAAUCAAGACAUGAUAUUGCAGUAAAAAGUAAUUGUGAAGUUAGAGAUAUUAUAGAUGAAAAUGAUAGUGCUACCUAUAAAUGAUCUGUAUCUAGU